AACAUGAUAAAGGCUAGAUGUUUAUACUAACACUUAACGAGUUCUACAAAGCUUUGUUGUCUAUUUGAGCUCCACAGAAUUCAAGGAUCAAAGAAGACUAGCAGACAGAGGACAUCUUAAUCGCUGUCAGGGUGCUGCCAACAUUCAAAUACACCUCCGUCACCUGCUAGCUACAUCAGAAGAAAUUACGUCAAAAUCCAGCUUGGGGGAGAGCACCCCCAUUUAUCCAGCUAAGUAUUCUACUCAUGUUUAUACUUUACUCUAAGAAUAAAAUGAUGCAUAAUCAUAACAACCCAAAUAAAGAUUCUGUACUUAUAUAUAUCUUUUCUUAGUUUGCUAAAUAAAUAAAUAAAUAAAGUUUGGUAUGAACCCUCAUGACAAGCUCUCACAUGGAAAUGAUAAAUAGUUGCUCUGCCAUAUACCUAGUUUUCAAGUUUGAGCUCUCGCUCAAGUUUAGGCAUAACUGUUAUAAUUUAAACUUACUCUAAACCUGAACUUGUGGGAAGAGUACUUGAUCUAAAGUCUAACUCGUUAAUGGAUAUGAUAUGGGAAGGUUGAGCUGUUGUUUAUCUGUUCCUAGAGAUGCUAGAAUUCUGGAGAAUUUUAUCUUUGAAAAUCUUUAAAAUGUUGCGUGAUGAGUUCCUGUAUGAUGAGAGUUUAAAUUCCUACCACAGCCUUAUAUACAUGCUUGCUAGACUAUGAGCCACACAUUUACUUUUUACUACUUAUGAGCAUUGAGUGUGGUCAAGCUGUGUAGACCCUUAGGAGCUUGUCAUGCGGUUAAAUCAAGAUUCACUUGCACGUUCACUCAUACAUGCUACUUCUACUUUGGAAGUACGCAUCCACAUAUAUCCAUCCAUUUCUAUCUCCAGAACCACCCAAAAAUAUUCUACUCUUAAUCUGGGAGAGAAUAGCCAAAAACAUUCUCCUAUUUCUGUUUUUCCCUGUGAAAUAAAUGCUCAAGUUAUCUUGGUUACUAGCACUUGCUAUAUUAUUUUAGGAGAUGAGUGCUCUAAAAAAUAGAAAAAAAAGAAGAAAGAAUACGAGGAAAUAAAAAGGGGCAAGUGCCUGGAACCUCGAAAUAAAAGAAAAAGGGAGACGAGAGGUAAAAAUGGACGAGUGUCCGACAGUAGAAUUAGGGGUACAAGAUACCCACCUGAGAGGAAAGAAAAAGAAAAUAUAGAGCAUCUCAUUCUCUUCAAAAGUUUCAAAAGAGCAACGAAGGUAUGUAUCCCCUCAAAAGAGCAUAAGUAGAAUUAGACUUUCACCAUUGUUAUCACCAUCAUCACCAUACACCAUUCAUUCACCACACAUGCACAUCUUGAUUUGACUUAUUGACUUGUUCUUCUGGAUCCAUGGUUUGACUAUGCAAUAAAUGCCUUGUAAGUAUGUAUUAGUUGUCUCCCACCUAUGAGCUCCAGAUAUCAAAACCUUAUUAGAGUAGGGUGAGAGAGAAGGCAAUGUCACUAUGCCUUAUACCACAAAUACCACAUACUUUGAGAGAAGGCAUAUACCAUUACUGCCUUGGUAAGGAUCCAGAAAUACCACAAAAGAGAGACUAGAGAGAGUCAUACAAGGAAUCUCUAAGUUUUAUUUGAAAAUCUACAAAAACUCUAGAGCUAUAGUUAAUCGAAGAACAAGAGACAUGGCGCUUGACUAGACCGUUCUAUCUUUUAACUGCUCAAGACACAAGUGACGGUUACAAGCCCCAUGGUGGAAGGUAAAAUGAGUAAGUUUAAAUCCUAACAGUUUACCCUAACCCAGAGAUGAGAUUUUUUUUUGAACGCAUGUGUAUUUUUAAGGCAUAAAACCACUGCAGAAACUCUUGAGUCCAUCUUUGCUCAGGGACGAGCAAAGGUUAAGCUUGGGGGAGCUUGUUGACGGUCCUUAAUGCUCACAUUUAACCAUCAACUAAUCAUGGAAAAGGAUCUAAAUGCAACCAACACCUAGACUUAGGGUUUUAUCUGAUAGAAUUCCACGAGUUUUGGUGUUUGUCUAUUUCUGCAGGGGGCUAUCAGGAAAUAUGAAAGAAAGGCCCAC
rnacentral:lncRNA from 1 species